rnacentral:rRNA from 1 species
GCCCCGGUAAACGGCGGCCGUAACUAUAACGGUCCUAAGGUAGCGAAAUUCCUUGUCGGGUAAGUUCCGACCUGCACGAAUGGCGUAAUGAUGGCCAGGCUGUCUCCACCCGAGACUCAGUGAAAUUGAACUCGCUGUGAAGAUGCAGUGUACCCGCGGCAAGACGGAAAGACCCCGUGAACCUUUACUAUAGCUUGACACUGAACAUUGAGCCUUGAUGUGUAGGAUAGGUGGGAGGCUUUGAAGUGUGGACGCCAGUCUGCAUGGAGCCGACCUUGAAAUACCACCCUUUAAUGUUUGAUGUUCUAACGUUGGCCCGUAAUCCGGGUUGCGGACAGUGUCUGGUGGGUAGUUUGACUGGGGCGGUCUCCUCCUAAAGAGUAACGGAGGAGCACGAAGGUUGGCUAAUCCUGGUCGGACAUCAGGAGGUUAGUGCAAUGGCAUAAGCCAGCUUGACUGCGAGCGUGACGGCGCGAGCAGGUGCGAAAGCAGGUCAUAGUGAUCCGGUGGUUCUGAAUGGAAGGGCCAUCGCUCAACGGAUAAAAGGUACUCCGGGGAUAACAGGCUGAUACCGCCCAAGAGUUCAUAUCGACGGCGGUGUUUGGCACCUCGAUGUCGGCUCAUCACAUCCUGGGGCUGAAGUAGGUCCCAAGGGUAUGGCUGUUCGCCAUUUAAAGUGGUACGCGAGCUGGGUUUAGAACGUCGUGAGACAGUUCGGUCCCUAUCUGCCGUGGGCGCUGGAGAACUGAGGGGGGCUGCUCCUAGUACGAGAGGACCGGAGUGGACGCAUCACUGGUGUUCGGGUUGUCAUGCCAAUGGCACUGCCCGGUAGCUAAAUGCGGAAGAGAUAAGUGCUGAAAGCAUCUAAGCACGAAACUUGCCCCGAGAUGAGUUCUCCCUGACUCCUUGAGAGUCCUGAAGGAACGUUGAAGACGACGACGUUGAUAGGCCGGGUGUGUAAGCGCAGCGAUGCGUUGAGCUAACCGGUACUAAUGAACCGUGAGG